GCUUCCAGAGCCACUUCCCGACUCCAGCUCUCGGGCGCAGCCCGGGAAAAGGGGGCGUGGUCAGACGGGAAGAAGAGUCGCUCCGGGCCCGCCCCCUCUCCUCAGGUAACCCUGGAGGGGGGGGGCAGACACCUGGCCAGCCUCCCCCUGCCUUCCGUGCUGUCUCGGCUAUCGGGGCCACCUGGGCCUCCCUUUGGGGAAAAACAAAAAACGAAAUCCCGGACCUCUCCCAGGUCCCCUCUAGGCGGGGUGGGGCGGAGCUCUUGCCCUCAGCCGAGACGCCUGGGGCCGCUUCGGCCCCACCGCCUCCCGGGCUCACUCGAGGGCGCGCGCAGUGGCUUCUGGGGUCAUGGCACGUGGACUGGGCUGGCACGGGGAUUGCGGGGAUGGAGGUGCGACAGCUCCGACGUCUGAGUGAAGCCCCUGGAAAUCACGGCCUGGCAAAGCGACCCUAACGCCCCGGGCCCCCUUUCCCACGGCCUCGGAGCCGAGCUGCUGCUGAGAGAUGAGCAAGCAAAGCGGGUGGCUCCAGGAAAAGGCCUGAGCCUGCACAAGGCCAGCGAAGGCCGCUGUUAGGCCGACUGCAGUGGCCCGGACAAGGAUCUUGGUGGCGUUUGUGGAGACUGAUGGACGGCCUCACGUCUUCAUGUCCUGCCAGUGCCACUUACUAGGAGCAAGAAACUUUGAAGUUGACGUUCGUGGUGUCCGAUUCUCCGUGACCUUAUUUGGACUUUUCUUGGGAGAGAUUCUCAAGUGAUUGGUCAUUUCCUUCUCUGGCUUGUUUUCCAGAUGAGGAAACUGAGCUCCCCCCCAAGGAACGGGAAGACGCUGCCAGUGGAAGGGGCCGAGCUUCACCAAAACUCAUCGAAGCCCCGUGGCAGGACCAAAGUUAGACUGGCUGGGGAUGGCGCAAGAGGCAGUGGAUGACCUUUGGAGCAGAUUAUUGGAGCCAUAGCUGAAAGGUGACCUCCGACAGAGGAAGAACAGACCUUAAAGGCCAACACCCUCACUUUAUGUAGCAGGGAAGUGAGUCCUAGGGGAAUUACCUGACUCAAAAGCCAGGGUUUUGUGCAAUUAUUUUAAAUUUCUAGCAAUUUAGCAACAAUUAAACAAGAGCAAUAAGAUACUA